UACAUAGGGAGCAAGCGUUAUCCGGAUUUAUUGGGUGUAAAGGGUGCGUAGACGGGAAAUUAAGUUAGUUGUGAAAUCCCUCGGCUUAACUGAGGAACUGCAACUAAAACUGAUUUUCUUGAGUACUGGAGAGGAAAGUGGAAUUCCUAGUGUAGCGGUGAAAUGCAUAGAUAUCACGCAGAACUCCGAUUGCGAAGGCAGCUUACUAAGCCAUAACUGACACUGAAGCACGAAAGCGUGGGGAGCAAAAAGG
rnacentral:rRNA from 1 species